rnacentral:rRNA from 1 species
UUUCACACACACACACACCCUUUUUAAUGCAAUGUGUAGAAUGUCUUACCUUUUGCGAUCACACGCAAUCAAUACAGACAUUCUCAAACCUUCUUGGUUUCUUGACCAGGAAGGCUUUUGGACUUUGGAGGCUUUUGCUGGCUUUCCUUUGUUGGAGCCAGCUCCUCUGAAAUGGAUUAGUAGGGUCUGCUUUGCCGAUCCUUGACGUGAUAAGAUGUUUUCUACGUCUCGGGUUCUGCACUCCUGCUUCUAACCGUCUCACAGAAGACAAAUGGUCAAAGUGAUCGCCACUUUGACCCAUGAACCUUGACCUCAAAUCGGGUGAGACUACCCGCUGAACUUAAGCAUAUCAAUAAGCGGAGGAA